UGUUAAGUCAGAUGUGAAAGACCCGGGGCGUUAACCUCGGAAUUGCAUUUGUAAACUAGGCAGGCUAGAGUCUUGUAGAGGGGGGUAGGAAGUUUCUAGGUGUAGCGGUGAAAUAGCGUAGAGAUCUGAAGGAAUACCAGUGGCGAAGGCGGCCCCCCUCGGACAAAGACUGACGCUCAGAUGCGAAAGCGUGGGGAGCAAACAGGAUUAGAUACCCCUGGUAG
rnacentral:rRNA from 1 species